rnacentral:rRNA from 1 species
CCCGAGCAAUCGGGGUUAAAGGACGUAACUGUUCGCCAAGGGAUAGUCCUGCGGCCUAUCAGGUAGUUGGUAGGGUAAUGGCCUACCAAGCCAAUGACGGGUAGCUGGCCUCAUGAGGGUGGUCAGCCAGAGGGGGACUGAGACACGGCCCCCACUCCUACGGGAGGCAGCAAUCAGGAAUAGUCGGCAAUGGGCGCAAGCCUGACCGCGCGACGCCGCGUGAAGGAUGAAGCUUCACAAGAGUGUAAACUUCUGUUGUAAGGGAAGAAGAUUUGGCGUAAGCCAGAUUUGACGGUACCUUACUAGAAAGUGGCCGCUAACUGCGUGCCAGAAGCGUCGGUAAUACGUGGGCCACGAGCGUUAUCCGGUGUUAUUGGGCGUAAAAGGUCGUGUAGGUGGUUGUGUAAGUUAAUUUUUAAAUGUCCACGCCUAACGUGGAAAAUGGAAUUAAUACUACACAGCUAGAAUUUUCUUUAGGGAGAUCGGAACUGAGGGAGGAGUAGUGAAAUGCGUUGAUACCCUCGGGAACACCAGUGGCGUAGGCGGAUCUCUGGAAGAAGAUUGACACUGAGACACGAAAGCUAGGGGAGCGAAGCAGAUUAGAGACCUGCGUAGUCCUAGCCGUAAACGAAUGUCCGCUGGCUGCAUGUUUCGAAUUUAUUCGAUACGUGUGGCGAAGGUAACCCGUUAAGCGGACCGCCUGGGGAGUACUGCCGCAAGGUUAAAACUCAAAGG